rnacentral:lncRNA from 1 species
CGGGGAGCUCCGUGGUGCCCUCGCGAGGGGGAGGGGCGCGGCGCUGGGCCCCCCGGGGAUGCCCGGGGCUGGGCGACGACCCCGCGGUAGCUCGGGCCCGUUCCCGGAGUGCGGUGUUCGGGGACGGCCCGGUUGCUGUAGCCCCGUCCCGGAAGGUGCUCCUGAGAUGCGACUGCUGAUAUCGGGUGUGGACUGCGCGGGUGCGGCGUUGCGAAUGAUGACCUAUACAACCUCAGCAAAUCCUUCUUUUAACUCAUGGGUAUCAAGACUCUAAAUGUUUCAUGUUACCACAACUAGGACCUCACUUCCUCCUCCUCCUCUUCCUCUGUAAAUGGGUACGAUGCAUCCAGUUCAGUUUGUUUACUUUACACAAACCUCAGGAGUUAGUUGACUGAGCUGCACAUCCUGUGUUGUGCCAAGCAGAAGCACUGUGACACCUGGACUAUGAGUCUCUCUUAAUCCUCUACCGUAAGGACUUAGCUGGCCACAAUGAACUGAUGUGCCCACCACUGUGUCAUGGUGAGAAUGGGUAUUUUACUAGCACAUUUACACAACUUCAUUUGCUGCUGAAAACCUGUAUGACAAAUCAUCCUUGUAAAUUAUUACAUACAAAACUUAAUGUUGGUUGAAGAGUAUUAAAUAUUUAACAUAGGUUUUGAUUUAUACAUGUACUUUUUUAAUUAAAAUGUAACUUUUCCUACAGCACAUCUUUUUUGAUGUGGAACUGAGGUAUACUAUAUUCUGUUGUAAACAGAGUGGGAAACCUAAUUAAAACAAGGCUUCUAAGAAUAGAGUAGGGUACUAUUCUUGUUUUAAGAUUGUAAUUCAGAAAAUAAUAUAAUACGAGUCAUUGGUCCCUGGGCCUUGAUUGUACAGUCAUAUUUGCUGAUACUAUCAGUUGUAAGAUAACCCUGAUGCUGAACUGAUUUCUUUCCAGAAGAAAAGUAAUUUUGUACUCCUUGUAAAAUAAUAAUCUGUAUUAACUACAAUGAAGACAAACUUUACUGUACAUGGUAUUUACAAGUGUCAACUUGAAUUCGUCAAUUGCACAGAAACUGACAAAAAAUCAGAAAAAAAGAAAUCAAAGUCUUCCAUUGUAUAUAUUGUAAAGAAUAGAAAUUAAAAAAAAAACAAAAAACAAAAAACAAAACAAAAAAAAAACAGAAAACCACAAAACAAUAUGAAAACAAAGGGUGAACUUUUCAAAUUAACUCUUUCCUUGGAAUGAAAAUGUGGGUGUUUGUAAAUUCUGGAAAUCUCUUUCUAUAUGUAAUAAACUAGAUACUGUUUUAUCUGCUGUAGUUUGU